GAAGAUGCACCACCCCCUGCCCUGGCUCUAGACAUCCAGAGACCACGUUGGAGCCGUGCUGCAGACUCUCAGACCAGAGUUUCCACUCCAGAACUCUCGCCUGACCUCUGGUCCUGUACCUCCAGCAGCUUGUGGAAUCUCAGACUCAAAUACCAACUCAUCACAGGGUGCAGAAUGUCGAAGAAACUCAGGGCCCACCCCAACCACCUGACGAUGACACUCACAAUCAAAACCACGUACAUGGCUUCUACCACACACGCGCGCAGCCCUUGAGCUGAGGGUGUUACACACAGUACUGCAUUCCAUCUUCACGGACACUGUGAGGUCGCAUGCCCUGGAGGUUAAGAGCAAGGAGUCCGAGCUACAAGGGCAGAGUUGAGUCGUUGCAACACAGAUGUAAAUGUAUGGCUCACGAAGUCCUCUGAGGGUUGGCUGCCAUUAUGAUGAUUACACAGACGAACAACAGCGGGUCCCAAGCCAUCCAGCCGAAAGAAAAUUUCCAAGUCAUCUGCCUUUGAAAUUAAAUAGAAAGUAUGAAAUGAACUCAGUACCUUGCUGUGUGACCUCAGGUUCCUGAUACCUCACCCACUCUCCCUAUCUUGGGAGAGGGAAAAAGUAGUCACUGACAUGUUAGUAUAAAAAUAUUUCCCUCAGAGGCCAGCCCCGUGGCCGAGCGGUUAAGUUCGCACGCUCCGCUUCGGUGGCCCAGGGUUUCGCCGGUUCGGAUCCUGGGCACAGACAUGGCACCGCUCGUCAGGCCAUGCUGAAGCGGCAUCCCACAUGCCACAACUAGAAGGACCCACAACUAAAAAUAUGCAACUAUGUACUGGGGGGCUUUGGGGAGAAAAAGGAAAAAUAAAAUUUUUUAAAAAAU
rnacentral:lncRNA from 1 species